UUGCUACUGAUCUUAGCGGCGGACGGGUGAGUAAUGCUUAGGAAUCUGCCUAUUAGUGGGGGACAACAUUUCGAAAGGAAUGCUAAUACCGCAUACGUCCUACGGGAGAAAGCAGGGGAUCUUCGGACCUUGCGCUAAUAGAUGAGCCUAAGUCGGAUUAGCUAGUUGGUGGGGUAAAGGCCUACCAAGGCGACGAUCUGUAGCGGGUCUGAGAGGAUGAUCCGCCACACUGGGACUGAGACACGGCCCAGACUCCUACGGGAGGCAGCAGUGGGGAAUAUUGGACAAUGGGCGCAAGCCUGAUCCAGCCAUGCCGCGUGUGUGAAGAAGGCCUUAUGGUUGUAAAGCACUUUAAGCGAGGAGGAGGCUACUUUAGUUAAUACCUAGAGAUAGUGGACGUUACUCGCAGAAUAAGCACCGGCUAACUCUGUGCCAGCAGCCGCGGUAAUACAGAGGGUGCAAGCGUUAAUCGGAUUUACUGGGCGUAAAGCGCGCGUAGG
rnacentral:rRNA from 1 species